rnacentral:rRNA from 1 species
UACGUAGGGGGCAAGCGUUGUCCGGAUUUAUUGGGCGUAAAGGGUGCGUAGGUGGCGCGGUAAGUCGGGUGUGAAAUCUCGGAGCUUAACUCCGAAAUUGCAUUCGAUACUGCCGUGCUCGAGGACUGGAGAGGAGACUGGAAUUCAUGGUGUAGCAGUGAAAUGCGUAGAGAUCAUGAGGAAGACCAGUGGCGAAGGCGGGUCUCUGGACAGUUCCUGACGCUGAGGCGCGAAGGCCAGGGGGAGCAAACGGGG